GGGUUGUGAGGUUAAGCGACUAAGCGUACACGGUGGAUGCCCUGGCAGUCAGAGGCGAUGAAGGACGUGCUAAUCUGCGAUAAGCGUCGGUAAGGUGAUAUGAACCGUUAUAACCGGCGAUUUCCGAAUGGGGAAACCCAGUGUGUUUCGACACACUAUCAUUAACUGAAUCCAUAGGUUAAUGAGGCGAACCGGGGGAACUGAAACAUCUAAGUACCCCGAGGAAAAGAAAUCAACCGAGAUUCCCCCAGUAGCGGCGAGCGAACGGGGAGCAGCCCAGAGCCUGAAUCAGUGUGUGUGUUAGUGGAAGCGUCUGGAAAGGCGCGCGAUACAGGGUGACAGCCCCGUACACAAAAAUGCACAUGCUGUGAGCUCGAUGAGUAGGGCGGGACACGUGGUAUCCUGUCUGAAUAUGGGGGGACCAUCCUCCAAGGCUAAAUACUCCUGACUGACCGAUAGUGAACCAGUACCGUGAGGGAAAGGCGAAAAGAACCCCGGCGAGGGGAGUGAAAAAGAACCUGAAACCGUGUACGUACAAGCAGUGGGAGCACGCUUAGGCGUGUGACUGCGUACCUUUUGUAUAAUGGGUCAGCGACUUAUAUUCUGUAGCAAGGUUAACCGAAUAGGGGAGCCGAAGGGAAACCGAGUCUUAACUGGGCGUUAAGUUGCAGGGUAUAGACCCGAAACCCGGUGAUCUAGCCAUGGGCAGGUUGAAGGUUGGGUAACACUAACUGGAGGACCGAACCGACUAAUGUUGAAAAAUUAGCGGAUGACUUGUGGCUGGGGGUGAAAGGCCAAUCAAACCGGGAGAUAGCUGGUUCUCCCCGAAAGCUAUUUAGGUAGCGCCUCGUGAAUUCAUCUCCGGGGGUAGAGCACUGUUUCGGCAAGGGGGUCAUCCCGACUUACCAACCCGAUGCAAACUGCGAAUACCGGAGAAUGUUAUCACGGGAGACACACGGCGGGUGCUAACGUCCGUCGUGAAGAGGGAAACAACCCAGACCGCCAGCUAAGGUCCCAAAGUCAUGGUUAAGUGGGAAACGAUGUGGGAAGGCCCAGACAGCCAGGAUGUUGGCUUAGAAGCAGCCAUCAUUUAAAGAAAGCGUAAUAGCUCACUGGUCGAGUCGGCCUGCGCGGAAGAUGUAACGGGGCUAAACCAUGCACCGAAGCUGCGGCAGCGACACUAUGUGUUGUUGGGUAGGGGAGCGUUCUGUAAGCCUGUGAAGGUGUGCUGUGAGGCAUGCUGGAGGUAUCAGAAGUGCGAAUGCUGACAUAAGUAACGAUAAAGCGGGUGAAAAGCCCGCUCGCCGGAAGACCAAGGGUUCCUGUCCAACGUUAAUCGGGGCAGGGUGAGUCGACCCCUAAGGCGAGGCCGAAAGGCGUAGUCGAUGGGAAACAGGUUAAUAUUCCUGUACUUGGUGUUACUGCGAAGGGGGGACGGAGAAGGCUAUGUUGGCCGGGCGACGGUUGUCCCGGUUUAAGCGUGUAGGCUGGUUUUCCAGGCAAAUCCGGAAAAUCAAGGCUGAGGCGUGAUGACGAGGCACUACGGUGCUGAAGCAACAAAUGCCCUGCUUCCAGGAAAAGCCUCUAAGCAUCAGGUAACAUCAAAUCGUACCCCAAACCGACACAGGUGGUCAGGUAGAGAAUACCAAGGCGCUUGAGAGAACUCGGGUGAAGGAACUAGGCAAAAUGGUGCCGUAACUUCGGGAGAAGGCACGCUGAUAUGUAGGUGAAGUCCCUUGCGGAUGGAGCUGAAAUCAGUCGAAGAUACCAGCUGGCUGCAACUGUUUAUUAAAAACACAGCACUGUGCAAACACGAAAGUGGACGUAUACGGUGUGACGCCUGCCCGGUGCCGGAAGGUUAAUUGAUGGGGUCAGCGCAAGCGAAGCUCUUGAUCGAAGCCCCGGUAAACGGCGGCCGUAACUAUAACGGUCCUAAGGUAGCGAAAUUCCUUGUCGGGUAAGUUCCGACCUGCACGAAUGGCGUAAUGAUGGCCAGGCUGUCUCCACCCGAGACUCAGUGAAAUUGAACUCGCUGUGAAGAUGCAGUGUACCCGCGGCAAGACGGAAAGACCCCGUGAACCUUUACUAUAGCUUGACACUGAACAUUGAGCCUUGAUGUGUAGGAUAGGUGGGAGGCUUGGAAGUGUGGACGCCAGUCUGCAUGGAGCCGACCUUGAAAUACCACCCUUUAAUGUUUGAUGUUCUAACGUUGACCCGUAAUCCGGGUUGCGGACAGUGUCUGGUGGGUAGUUUGACUGGGGCGGUCUCCUCCUAAAGAGUAACGGAGGAGCACGAAGGUUGGCUAAUCCUGGUCGGACAUCAGGAGGUUAGUGCAAUGGCAUAAGCCAGCUUGACUGCGAGCGUGACGGCGCGAGCAGGUGCGAAAGCAGGUCAUAGUGAUCCGGUGGUUCUGAAUGGAAGGGCCAUCGCUCAACGGAUAAAAGGUACUCCGGGGAUAACAGGCUGAUACCGCCCAAGAGUUCAUAUCGACGGCGGUGUUUGGCACCUCGAUGUCGGCUCAUCACAUCCUGGGGCUGAAGUAGGUCCCAAGGGUAUGGCUGUUCGCCAUUUAAAGUGGUACGCGAGCUGGGUUUAGAACGUCGUGAGACAGUUCGGUCCCUAUCUGCCGUGGGCGCUGGAGAACUGAGGGGGGCUGCUCCUAGUACGAGAGGACCGGAGUGGACGCAUCACUGGUGUUCGGGUUGUCAUGCCAAUGGCACUGCCCGGUAGCUAAAUGCGGAAGAGAUAAGUGCUGAAAGCAUCUAAGCACGAAACUUGCCCCGAGAUGAGUUCUCCCUGACCCUUUAAGGGUCCUGAAGGAACGUUGAAGACGACGACGUUGAUAGGCCGGGUGUGUAAGCGCAGCGAUGCGUUGAGCUAACCGGUACUAAUGAACCGUGAGGCUUAACCUUACAACGCCGAAG
rnacentral:rRNA from 1 species